rnacentral:rRNA from 1 species
UACGUAGGGUCCGAGCGUUGUCCGGAAUUACUGGGCGUAAAGAGCUCGUAGGUGGUUUGUCGCGUUGUUCGUGAAAACUCACAGCUCAACUGUGGGCGUGCGGGCGAUACGGGCAGACUUGAGUACUGCAGGGGAGACUGGAAUUCCUGGUGUAGCGGUGGAAUGCGCAGAUAUCAGGAGGAACACCGGUGGCGAAGGCGGGUCUCUGGGCAUGUCCUGACGCUGAGGAGCGAAAGUGUGGGGGAGCGAACAGG